GGAAGUGGAUGUUUAUGGGUAGUAGUGGUAAUAUGGGAAUAGGGUAUUGGUCCUCCCCCACACGUUUUGCCGGUUAUGGAGAGUUACAAAUUAAGUCAUUCAUUCAAGAUGCAAAAGCCACGACGAUAACGAUUAAUGAGAUGAUGGUUUGGACUAGAAGAGUGGUUCCCAGGAGAGGAAAGAAGAAAAUGGUGAUAGAUUUGAUGGCAGAUUUGAACUCGAUAAGCUGUCCCGAGAAGCCAUGGAUGACAGAGUAGGUGACUGGUAUGAGGGAGAAGGUAGAGAAGAGGAAGGUGAAGAGACCAUAAGACAAAGCCAGCAAAAGGAUCUGUGUGGAAAAGGUGGUUUUGGAGAUGGCGUCAGUUAAGAGAGAUUGGAGUAUGGGAUAAAGGGUGGUGGCUAUAGAGAGAGGCAGGAUGAAGAGGAAGCUGAGGUUGAUGAAGAGGCUGGGUUGUGAAUUGAAGACUCGGUUGGAUUCGGAGAGUAGUUUGUUGAAAGUUAGUACUGUUGGUACUCCUGGUGGUGAAGUUUCCAUGGCUGAUCACCAAUAACUAAUAAGAGAUUUAAUAACUCAGAUAGUUCAAAGGAAUUUCAGAAUGAUUUUUAAAGCAAAAUCACUUUAUGGUGGUGACCAACAAUGCAAAUAAUUAUUCUUCAAUACAAAAUAUACAAAUGGCUCUAACAUGUCAAAUGUUACUAAAAUGUUUGAUAUUCACUCUUACGUAAUCAUUAAGACUCAGAGUUCAUUUCAUCUAAUUUUCGACUAGUUUUCUUCGUCGAAAAGUAUAUAUUAUAUAAUAAAUACAACAUCAUCCAUCCAUUUUUUAUAAUUUCGGUCUUCUUAAUAAAAUAAGAAUUGCAGAAGACAUUUUCACAAACACAAGGUGUAAACUUGAUUCCAAAAG